GCGUGGGAGCAGGGGGGAAAAUCUUUCCAAUGCUACCCCCUCCCUUCCCCCCGUGGCAGAAUAGGGAGGGAGGGCGGACCUCGGGCCCAGUUUGGCUUUGCCUUCAUGGACAGCAGCAACCAUCACCUGUCUGCCACGGCAAUAGAUGCCUCUGCUUGCUCCAGAUGUCCUUCUCCUGCAGACCAGAGAACACCUCUUGCUAA
rnacentral:lncRNA from 1 species